rnacentral:rRNA from 1 species
UACGUAGGGGGCAAGCGUUGUCCGGAAUCAUUGGGCGUAAAGCGCGUGUAGGCGGCUGGGUAAGUCCGCUCUGAAAGCCCGGGGCUCAACCCCGGGAGGCGGGUGGAUAUUGCUCAGCUCGAGUCCGGAAGAGGAGUGUGGAAUUCCUGGUGUAGCGGUGAAAUGCGCAGAUAUCAGGAGGAACACCAAUGGCGAAGGCAGCACUCUGGGACGGUACUGACGCUGAGACGCGAAAGCGUGGGGAGCAAACAGG